rnacentral:rRNA from 1 species
ACGCAAGUGUGAAACUUGAAGGAAUUGACGGAAGGGCACCACAAGAACGCGUGGAGCAUGUGGCUUAAUUUGACUCAACGCGGGAAAUCUUACCGGGUCCGGACACACUGAGGAUUGACAGGCAAUAUCUCAUGUUAACGGUAAGUUUACUUACCGCUUAACAUCGAGUGUUAAAUAUGCUAGUCCUUUCAUGAUUAUGUGAUAGGUGGUGCAUGGCCGUUCUUAGUUCGUGGAGUGAUCUGUCUGCUUAAUUGCGUUUCACUAAGGGCCCAUAAAUUCAAGGUAUGUUAGCUCUCGUCGCUCUAUGGACCCCUUAACUCCAAUAUUCUUAUUGUGUUAAGCGCGUGUCUUUAUUUUAAGAGUUUUAAGACACUGCGCAUGCUGUUGGGCUCUGAAAGCAACGAACGUGACCG